CCCUUGACCACACCACCAGGCCCCUCCCUCUAUAAAAGCCAGGGAUGAAGGUCGGGACUUGGUGGAGAAUAACCGCCGGGGAGAGCUGCACGGCGUUGCUGUCGUUGGUCCACUUGGUCUCCGUCUCCCUGCCAGGUCACAAGGCCAAGGCUAAUAAAGCAACCUGCUGGCGUAUAACAUUAAGAUUCUGCAAUGCUACUGCCUGGUUUCUGUUGGAAGGAGGAGGAUUUGCUAACCCACUUUGACCAUGGUGUUCUCAUUUUGCACCAUCAAGGAUAUCAAACGAGCACUUUGCCAAGCAUUGUGCAAAGAGGUCUUCUACCCUUGUUUCAUUAAUUCUCACUACAAACCUAAGACGAAGGUCCUUCUCUGGGCAUCUGAUUUCUCCUGGUUCUCUGCUAAACCCCAAGGAGGGUCCUACAGGUGUCUUUCUUGCUGAGGAAACAGCAUCCUUUCUUCACGUCCUGAUUGCAUUCUGAGAUGGACUGACCCCAUCCCCACAGGCACAGAAGUGCUGAACGCUGUCUCGGUUCCAAUCUGCAGAGGCCAGUCCUGAUGAGCCCCCCACCCAUUGUUCAGUCUGCAACAGCCUUUUUCCCUUGGGCUGCUUUUCUUUUGUUGCUAUUCCUUUUCCUUGGGUCUCUGGAUUCAUUUUACUACUUUGUCUUUCUCCCAGUCUCCUGACUGAUGUUUCAACCAUCAUUAAUGGGCUUACACACACACACACACACACACACACACAUACAUAAUUCACAUGAAGAAAACGUAUGUGCAGUAGACACUGAGGAAAGGCCUAGAAAAUGCAGGGUGUUUGUCCAUCCUGUGAAUGGAUUGUUAUUUAGAAGAGCCACUUUUUUUCUCUUAACCAAAGAACACUUAGUUACUGCAUAAUGAAUAAUUAAAAAGCCUCUUCUCACGAUCAGAGUCGGGAGUUUUCUAUAUUCAAGUUAAUCCAGCUUCUAUGGCAAGGGAAAAUCCUUAUAAAGGAUAAUACCAACCCAGAAUUUCUAGUUAAUAUGGAAUCUCAAUUUCUUUUAUUGAGUGGUUCAGAAAUGAUUAUUCUUUCUCUUAACUGGGGAACUGAGAAAUGUCGAGGCAACUGCAGUAACGACCUUGGAGUUUUCUUGAGGCCAAGAGGCUUCACCAUGGCCACCCAUGUCCAAGACCAUUUUGGAGGUAAUGUGAUACAGUCCCUCAGUAAAUGACUGAAGAGGACAUGAAUAAGGACAAAGGGAAACUUAGCCUGGAACCUGGUGCUUUUGCUUAAUUAAAAUUACUGCUUUCUUACUUCUUUGAGAGUUCAAAGACCUACAGUGAUUUCCCUAAAUGGUUUCAGCUAACCUGAUGCAGAAGGAAAGAUGAGAAUUAAUGGCACCCUCACUGGAAAGUUUAAAGUCCAAUUAGCUCUCAGGCUGGCUGAGUUUUGCUAAUUCAUCGAUGGGAUUCUGGGAAGGCGGGCAGGCCAAGCAGGCAGUAAGAGCUAAGUUAGAAUGAAGAGCGCAGGGAAAAGCAACCAACCAAGGUGAUUUGUUCCACAUUUUGACCCACCUGGCACAUAAGCCAUUACUGAUUUGUUACCUUGUUAACAGGCUCCAUGAGAAACUUGGAAUAGUGGCCCACUUACAGUUCAGAUUAAUUUUCUGUAACUUGGGAGGCUGUAAGUAAAUGGAUUAAAGAACCAUUUGAUCUUCAAAAAGAGGUUUAUGGUUGCUUUGAUGAUUAAGUACCCAGGGGACACAAUGGAUUAUCAUGGAUAAUGGAUUUGGAGAAGUGGGAUAUUAAAAAUGAACUCUCCUCCCUGGCCAUAUAGAGAUGGGGCUAAGAGGCUAUGUGGAGACUAGGUUAACUCUGUCAUCCACUUGAAUGAACAGUAGAGAUAAGCAGAAUAAACUCAGUCAACCCAAGGGAACCCACUUUUCUCACUCCUGGGAGAAAAAUUGAGUCUUGUUGGUGAAGCUUUGAAGUGUGACCUCCUUUAUCUCAAGAUAAAUUCUUGGGAAAGUACCUUUGUAAGUAUACAUUCGGAGCUCAAAAGCACCCUAAGAAAAAUGGCCGUUGUUUACCAGAGGUUUACUUCUGCCCAGUGAGCUGUAUGCCAAAAUCCCAACCCAUGGAGAAGAGCUCCCGUACAGGGGUCUCUCUGGGCUACUUCUAUCUCCAUCCUACUCUGAGGCCACAUGUACUCUGCGUUCUCAGUUGGGAAGAAUCAUUGGGGAUGAUGAAAUGUCCUAAAACAAGGACGGUUUGGGGUGGCAGAGACUAUAUACAUAUCAUAAAUACAUAGAGUAUGGAUGAUUAAUAUGUAUUAUGUGCCCCUUGGGUGAUCUCUGAAAGCCUAAUUAAUAAACCCAAAAUAUCAUUGAUGCCAACAUAUAUCACCAGCCAAUUUAAGGCAGAAGUGGAAAUUCAGUAACUUUAACAGAACCGGCAGAGUAACAAAUAAGGAAAUUAAGCCAGGUGUGAGUGCAUGCAUAUUCAUUGGGUGUCGUGGGGGUUGUGUUUACCCAGAGAGCAUUGCUUCUGAUAAGGGGUCCAGGCUACACAGCUCUAGCUAAAUGUUGCUGUGUUGAAAUGUAGAGUCUGGUGUUACCAGAUUUCCCCAUUUUUCCAGAGAAAGUAGAAAUGUGUAUUUUUUUUAGUUGUUUUGAA